rnacentral:rRNA from 1 species
UACGAAGGGGGCUAGCGUUGCUCGGAUUGACUGGGCGUAAAGGGCGCGUAGGCGGUUCGUACAGUCAGACGUGAAAUUCCUGGGCUCAACCUGGGGGCUGCGUUUGAUACGUGCGGACUUGAGUGCGGAAGAGGGUCGUGGAAUUCCCAGUGUAGAGGUGAAAUUCGUAGAUAUUGGGAAGAACACCAGUGGCGAAGGCGACUUACUGGACACAUAUUGACGCUGAGGUGCGAAAGCGUGGGGAGCAAACAGG